GGAUCUUCUUUUCCAAAUCUUAAAGAAGAAAAUGGAGGAAAUGUUUAAUUAGGUCCCAUUUAUUUUUGCUUUUCUUUUUAUUACUCUAGAAGGUGGAUCAUAAAAGAUCUUGCUGCAAUUUAUGUCAGAGAGUGUUCUGCCUAUGUUUUCUUCUAAGAAUUUUUGUAGUAUCCAGUCUUACGUUUACGUCUUUAAUCCAUUCUGAGUUUCUUUUUGUGUAUGGUGUUGGAGAAUGUUCUAAUUUCAUUCUUUUACAUGUAGCUGUCCAGUUUUCCUAGCACCACUUAUUGAAGAGAUUGUUUUUUUUUCUCCAUUGUAUAUUCUUGCCUCCUUUGUCAUAGAUUAGGUGACCAUAGGUGCAUGGGUUUAUCUGGUCUUUCCAUUCUGUUCCAUUGGUCUAUAUUCUGUUUUUGUGCCAGUACCACAUUGUUUUGAUUAUUGUAGCUUUGUAGCAUAGUCUGACCUCAGGACACCUGAUUCCUCCAGCUCCAUUUUUCUUUCUCAAGAUUACUUUGGCUAUUUGUGGUCUUUUGUGCUUCCAUUUAAAUUAAAUAUAGAGCUACCAUUUGAUUCAGCAAUCCCACUCUUGGGCAUAUAUUUGGAAGAAACUAAAAUCUGAAAAAAAUUCAUGCAUCCCAAUGUUCAUUGUAGCACUAUUUACAAUAGCCAGGACAUGAAAGCAACCUAAAAGUCUAUCAAUAGACGAAUGGAUAAAGAAGAUGUGGUACAUUUAUACAAGGGAGUGUUGUUGUUGUUUAGUCACUAAGUGUUGUCCAACUUUUGUGACCCCAUGGACUGUGGCCCACCAGGCUCCUCUGUCCAUAUUAUUUUCCAGGCAAGAAUAUUGGAGUGGGUUGCCAUUUCCUUCUCCAGGGGAUCUUUCUGAGCCAGGGAUCAAAACCAUGUCUCCUGCACUGGCACUUGCGUGUGCUAAGUUGCUUCAGUCAUGUCUGACUCUGUGCGACUCUAUGAACUGUAGCCUGCCAUGCUCCCCUGUCCAUGGGACUCUCCAGGAAUGAAUAUGGCAGUGGGUUGCCAUGCCCUCAUCCAGGGGAUAUUCCCAACCCAGGGAUCGGACCCGCAUCUCUUCUGUCUCCUGCAUUAACAGGCAGAUUCUUUAUCACUGAGCCCCCAGGCACGCCCACAGGGGGAUGUUACUUAGCCAUAAAAAAGAACGAAAUAAUGCCAUUUGCAGAAACAUGGAUGAACCUAGAGACUGUCACAGUGAAUGGAGUAAGUCAGAAAAAGACAGAUAUCAUGACACCCCAUACAUGUGGAAUCACAAAAUAGAAACAGUCACAGACGUAGAAAACAAACAUGGCUACCAAGGAUGAAAGUGGGGGAAGGAAAACUGGGAGACUGGGAUUGACGUAAAUGCACUACUAUAUAUAAAAUGGAAAACUAAUAAGAACCUACUGUAUAGCACAGGGAACUCUACUCAAUACUCUGUAACGACCUAUUUGGGAGACGAAUCUGCAUGUUUAUGUAUAACUGAUUCACUUUUCUCUACUGCAGAGACACAACACUGUAAAUCAACUAUACACCAAUAAAAAUUAAUUGAAAAAGAAAAUGGAUUAAAUGAUUUCUAUUUGAUAGAUUACUCCUAGAUACCCCCAUCAUACAAAACACAGGGAUUUAUAUUUCAGUUAAGGGCAUAUUUAGUUUUGUGGUUUGAGACAUAAAUCACUUAUUUUCACCAGAUUUCUCAAGGUUUUCACUCAAGUCAGCAGAUAAAUUGGUAUUUUACUCUAAAGUGAAAUAGAUUUCAUUAGAAAUGAAGAGAGAUGAUGUGCUUUGGUUGGAUACAGUGACUUACUGUAUUUCCAAAGGUUUAUUCUUGCUAUUUUAACUUCACUUUUUACACAAGCUUCCCAAUUUUUCAGUAAAAAAACCUGAAGACAUUUUUAAAGACAUGUACAUUUCUUCAUUCCUCUCUGAUACUGAAGUCCCCGAACAGUAAAAGCAAAGUAAUGCCUUUCACUCUUAUCCAUCCUUUCAUCUUAUCUAUGAUUGCAUAAAUCCAUUCACACACCCAUUCAUGAAUUCAUCCAUACAUGCAUCCAUCCAAGCAUUUACUUAUCUGUCUUUAUCCAACAAAUACUUGGGAAUUAUAGUAAACCCUAACCAGGAGCUCAUACAGUAGUGGAUGAAAGAGGUAGAGAGAGCUACAGUUAACAGUGUGAGGUGGCCUUUAGAAAAGAUACUGACCUUCUUUAGUGGAACUUCUAAAAGAAAGAAGUAAGUAAGUGUUUCCCUUCACUUGGUUGUAUCACAUGUGGAUACUCAGGUUGUAUCACAUGUGGUUUGGGGUUACUGUCAAACUAGCAUGUAGCAUGUGUUUAGAAUAACAAGCUAGACUGCUGAAGAAAUAUGAAACUGUCUCGUGAACAAAAGUUGAAUUAACUGGUUAUGCUUCAAACGGAGAAAGAAGAUUCAGGAUAUGUACUAUAGAUAUUUUCAAGUACUUGUGGGCAGAAAAGCAGAGUGUACAUGUUUGGUCAUCCUGAGGACAUAGUAUAAAACCUGCACAUGAAAGCUCCAUGAAGGGAUUUUGUCUGAAUAUAAAGAACUUUCCCUGGCGGUCCAGUGGUUAAGGCUCCAUACUCCCAAGGGAGCAUGGGUCUGAUCCCUGGUUAGGAUCAAACAUGUUGCAAAAGGCACAACCAAAAAACAAAUGAACAACUUUCUAGUAGUCACAGCAGUUCAAAGACUAAGAAGCUGCUAUGAUAGGUGAUGAGCAUUCUAUCAAUCACUAGAAACUUCCACAUACAGGUCAUUUGGGAUUGAAGAGAGGUUUUAGCAUUAGAAGACUAUUUGUUCUAAGAGAAAAAUAUUAAUAGAUCCUGGUGUUUCUACCAAGUAAUUUAAUAAGUGCAUGCUGGAUACUCUUCAUUUGCCCCACCAGAUCCAUUUCCCAUCCUGCCUGUCCUGGAAAGCCAGCCUCCCUGGAUGACAUCACCUGGCUCCCUUGACCUCUGGCUUUCAUUCACACUUGGCUGCCAGGCGGUUCUGAGAAGUGAUGGGUGCGGGGGAGGGGAGUGAGCAGAUUGCAUCCCUGGGGAGCAGCAGAGUUCUGGCAGUUCUGCCAUCUUUUGAGUCCAGCUCCUGCAAGGCGGCCUCCUCCCUUCUGCCCCAGUGCUCCCAGGGCUGCUUUCCAGCACUCACACUCCUGCUUCUCAUGGUUCCUUCAGGGAUGCUAAUGGCUUCUCUGCUGGUCACCCAGGACCUCCAUGCCCUUGUUGAUGCCCUUAAUUCCUACGCUUUAACUCUAGUGCCUUCUAACAAGAAAUAUAGCCUAUUUACUUUCUCCCCUCAAACCAGGUCUAGCUUUCUUUGCCAGAUGUUUGGACCAAUAGAAAGUGGAAGAAAUGAUGUUGCUGGACCUCAAGAGACUUGUGCCUUCGACUUACUCUAAUGGAACCCUGUAACCACCGGGCUGUCAAGCAACCUGAGCUGAAAGACCUUGUGGGGAGAGGCACAGCCAAUCCUGGGCCCUGGCAGACCUACCAGUUGACCCAUCAGCCAAUGCAGCUGCUUGAGUAACACCACAGGAGAGACCCACAGAAAAACAGUGCAUGCUUGUUGUUCUAAGAUGCUAAAUUUGGGGAACAGUGUUUGUGAUGCGAUGAAUAGAUAACUGAGACAACUCUGCUUAUAAACACAUGAUCCAGAAUUGCAUCCAAGUGUGUUUUCAUUUCUUGCUAGGAUCCUGACUGACACAAAGCUCUGCGGAGGGAUCUUGGCUGUAGACUGGGGCCCACUCUUCACUCUCUUCACUUUGACCUCGUCAAGUUAAGUCAGGGCUCCUUUCUGGAAUCCCAUGGGCCUCUCUUCCUAACAGAUGGAAUAGAAUACAACCUUUGUGGUUCAGCCUGUUCCCAAGUGGCAGAGUUGGGAAGAUGGCCAAACCACCAUCUUAUUUUCCUAUCUUGUUGAGUUGUGAGCACAGCUUUAAAGUGAGAAGAAAGAAAGAAGGCAUUAUUUUCGGUCUCUCCGAGUAGAUGUCCCCUGACUUAAAACUUCUCUUCCAACUUAAUUUCAAGAACUGUGAAAGUUUUAGUCUAUGUGGGAAAGUGAAAACAAUGUGGACACUGACAUAAAAUAUAAGACAGAAAGGAUUCUCCCUGUGUUUUUGUUCCCAUAACAGGGACCAAGGUCUGGGAAUAACAGAAACUGAUUCUUCAUGGUAUCACCCUUGGAGUUCAAGGAUGCCUGUAUUUAGAUAUCUAAAAUGAACUGAAGAACAGGGACUGAGGAGCUUGCAGUCUGCUGAGAAGGGGACGAGCCUUGGAGGAGCGAUGUCAUGGAUUCACAGAUCAGCUGUGUGAUGGUAGAAUCUGUCCGUCCUUGAGUGAUUUGAACUUGCUGCAACUUCUUCAACAUUUUGCUGAGAUUUGAUAGAACAUUUUCUGCUUUUCUGAGUAGGUAAAGAACUCUGAUAAUACUUCUUGAUGUCGUUUGAAAAAUCUACAUCAACACGAACUGAGUGAUUUAGGACAUACAGCUGUGCAGAGGCAGGAGGAGGAUUCCCAUGGCCAGCAGCCACCCCCGACAACACCAAGGAUCAAGAGUUAAUGUGUUUUGGCUGAGGGCUCUUGAAUAUACCGCCUGCUUCCAGCUGUUCACGGACAAGUGUCCUCAAACUGAGAAACAGCCACAGAUGUAAAUGAAAACAAAACACAAAAUAGGAAAUGGGCCACAUUCCUCUCCUCUACGGUUCUGGGGGUUCUCCCCUGAGAGAUAGACCAAAGACCUGGUUUUAACAUCCAUCAAUAAGUUUGGCAAAUGUUUCCAUUAUGGAAUGUAAAUUGGAGUCUUUCCCAAUUGGGCUAGUGUUUUUCCUCCACAAACUAUUUUUUUUUUUUUGUAAAUGAAGCUUAAUCAUUUAGUGACAAUUAUUUAACUGUAUUUUGGAGAGAGGGCUGAACUUCUCCGCAUCCUCCCAACUGGAUUCUUGACCAGAUUUUCUGAACACUGAGGAGAUUAGAAAAUUAAUGGGAAAAAACAGAAAGCAAAUCACUAUUGCUGUGGUCCUCCAUUAUACUUGACCAAAUCUGCUUACCCAACGAUGGCUCCAGAAGUAGCUGAAUUCUUAAAGUGACUGGACCUACUAAAGCUUCUACCCAUCUCCGGAGUAACCACUGGCUUUUGGGACUACAGGAGUCUAUAGUCCCAAAGGUUGUCACGUUGCCACACUGUCUUUGACUAUUGGGCAGUGCUUUCCGUAUGUUGAUGCAGAAUCUGCUCCUUUAACUUGUUCCCAUUGUUCUAAGCCCAGUCUUAAGGAAAUUGCACAAAACAUAUAGCUUUCCUCUUCCUUUGUACAGUCCAUCUCCCAACUAGAGUUGGCCAUUCUCAACUUGUAUAUGCUUCGUUAUUUUAAAUCAAUCACCCCUAAGACUUCAUCACAAAAUAGCAUGGUUUUUCUCCACUAUCCACAAACACUAGUUUGUCAAUUCAGUGCUUAAAAUGUGGUACUCAGAAAUGACAACAAUGUUCCUGGGAGUGUUCUGACCAGUACAGAGGACAAAUGGGGAAAGAGAGGCUGCCCUGGAGCUGGGCAUGGCAUUCCCACCCCUGCCCGAAAGGGUAUCCCCUCUUUGGCAGCCAAGCCGCACCACUGGUUCACUUGCAGCACACAAUGAAAAUCUCCCAGAUGUUUUUCACACUAACUUGUGCCAAGUUAUUACUCCCUCUCUGUAUUUAUGCAAUGGAUUUAAGAAACCCAAUUGCAAAACUUUAUUUUUAUUCCACUGACAAGUCAUCUUCUUGUUUCCAGUCAA